CCGUCACAAAAACAAACAACAAGAAAAACAAAACCUGCAUAAAAAACACGACGGCAAAGAAGUAGCGCUACAAGCUAAAGGCGGAUUAUUAUUUUUUAGUUGGGCCGUAUAGUCGACGCCGUUGUUGAGCUAUUGCCAGUAUUAUUUCCCUGGUGAUUUUUACGUUGAACCAUUUAUCGUUACAAGUGUGGAAAACCAUGCUGACCGCUACUAACCUGAAAAGCAACGCCCUGAUGCUCGUCCUGGCUGCUGUGGUAUGGCUGCAGUUGUGCCAGUCGGCCGCCGGUCAAGGCACCGCGGCCAUUCUGCCUGGCACCAUCGGCUGCCCGCAGAAAUUCUGUCUGCGCUGCAUCACUCCCCUGGAAGCGGCCAGCCAAGGCCCGUGUCCCUGCCCCAUCUGUCCCAUCGGCGGCGGCGGCACGAACCCCUGCGCUGCCGUCCUUUGUCUAGCCUGUAUGCCGGCACAGCCCGUGGACGCCGUGGCCGCCGGGAAGACCUCCGUCGUGCCCAUUGGCAGCGACUGCUGUCCGAAAUGCGGAUGACCUUUAUCCCGACCACUCUAUCGCUCCUCCCCGUCUGUCGGACCGUUGGACUCGGGGAACAGCGACUCCGUUCGAAAGCUACCGUAGACGGAAGGCGAUUAAACUGAUCAUACACUGUUUUCCCGUUUUCUUGUAUAAUACUUCAUACACUGUUCGCUGUCGGUUAUGCACGAGGCCGGCGUUGUUUGUUGGAUGGCGUUUUCCGUGAAAACAAUACCAGUGCCUUGGGCCAUCUUAAUGUCGGCAGUAAAGCCAUCAUGUACGGCACAAUAUUUAUUGUACUUGAACUCUUGCUGUUAUAAAGAGCCGCUCUUUCUUCACGAAAGCCACCGGAAACGAAUGUUAUUAGAGAGUUAUACGUUGAAUUAUACUCCUCCAAUUGGACAUGGCGACUAGUUGUUAUCUGUGUGCGGUCAUUUUCUUACUGGUCAGCGCGGGAAAUCGCUUGCCGGUUGAUGCACUGCUGAUAUGAACAUGGAGAUGUACGUUUGUACGUCGACAGGACUGCCCACCGUACUGUGUCCCGGACCGGUGCUCAACUGUUUCACCUGCGUCCCGCCCUCCCAGUACACCGGGCCCUGUGGAUGUCCCAUGUGCGCCGUAGAUCCCAAUCCCUGUCUGGGCAUCAUGUGCCCCGAUAACUGCGUGCUGCCGAUCAGCUCCCUCUCCGCAUCCGGAUUAUCCAGCGCGGCGCAGAUUGCCCAGCCCCCGGCCCCGAGCAGCUGCUGCCCCAAGUGCGGAUAACGGUCACCGAUCUUAUCCGGAACAAUCCCGGCAUCUUCCCGUUAAUUCUAUCCCGGAAAUUUUUAACAGACGUGCCAAUCAGUUUCUCCCGCUGUUUUCCGGCGGAAAUGGUGUGAUUCCGGGUGAAGAAACGUCGCUAACUGUGUGCUUGUUGUGUUAUGAAUGUUCCUAUAGUCAUUCUGGCAACGGAGCUGUUUUGUUUUGUUGACAGCCAACGCCGUGCCGUGUUUUCCGCGAAAACAAUAAACGUGUCGGCGAAUGUGG